rnacentral:sRNA from 1 species
AUCCCUCGCUGCUAAGCUAUCCCUUGCUGCUAAGCUAUCCCUCGCUGCUAAGCUAUCCAUCGCUGCUAAGCUAUCGCUCGCUGCUAAGCUAUCCCUUGCUGCUAAGCUAUCCCUUGCUGCUAAGCUAUCCCUUGCUGCUAAGCUAUCCCUUGCUGCUAAGCUAUCCCUCACUGCUAAGCUAUCCCUUGCUGCUAAGCUAUCGCUCACUGCUAAGCUAUCCCUCGCUGCUAAGCUAUCCCUCGCUGCUAAGCUAACCCUCGCUGCUAAGCUAUCCCUCGCUGCUAAGCUAACCCUCGCUGCUAAGCUAACCCUCGCUGCUAAGCUAUCCCUUGCUGCUAAGCUAUCCCUCACUGCUAAGCUAUCCCUCGCUGCUAAGCUAUCCCUCGCUGCUAAGCUAUCCCUUGCUGCUAAGCUAUCUCUUGCUGCUAAGCUAUCUCCUACUGCUAAGCUAUCCCUCACUGCUAAGCUAUCCCUUGCUGCUAAGCUAUCCCUCACUGCUAAGCUAUCCCUUGCUGCCAAUUUAUCUACCAGCUACUGCUGCCAAUCUUGCUCAGCUAUCCCUCACUGCUAAGCUAUGCCUCACUGCUAAGCUAUCCCUUGCUGCUAAGCUAUCGCUCGCUGCUAAGCUAUCCCUUGCUGCUAAGCUAUCCCUCGCUGCUAAGCUAUCCCUCGCUGCUAAGCUAUCCCUUGCUGCUAAGCUAUCACUCACUGCUAAGCUAUCCCUUGCUGCUAAGCUAUCUCUCACUGCUAAGCUAUCCCUCGCUGCUAAGCUAUCGCUCGCUGCUAAUCUAUCCCUCGCUGCUAAGCUAUCCCUUGCUGCUAAGCUAUCCCUCACUGCUAAUCUAUCCCUCGCUGCUAAGCUAUCCCUUGCGGCUAAGCUAUCCCUCGCUGCUAAUCUAUCCCUCGCUGCUAAGCUAUCCCUCGCUGCUAAGCUAUCCCUUGCUGCUAAGCUAUCUCUUGCUGCUAAGCUAUCUCUUGCUGCUAAGCUAUCCCUCACUGCUAAGCUAUCCCUUGCUGCUAAGCUAUCCCUCACUGCUAAGCUAUCCCUUGCUGCCAAUUUAUCUAUCACUGCUAAUCUAUCUAUCACUGCUAUCAAUUUAUCUACCACUGUCAAUCUAUCUAUCACUGCUAAUCUACCACUGCUGCCAAUCUAUCUAUCACUGCCAAUCUAUUGCUGCUAAUCUAUCACUGCUGUCAAUCUAUCACUGCUGUCAAUCUAUUGCUGCUAAUCUAUCACUGUCAAUCAAUCUACUGCAGUGAAUCUAUCUAUCACUAUCAUUACUGAUUCAAAAUAGAACU